rnacentral:rRNA from 1 species
AGCUAUGUGUACUAAUACAUAGUUAUUUCUGCUCUAUGAUUAUUAAAUAGCCGCAGUACUUUGACUGUGCAAAGGUAGCAUAAUCAGUUGGCUUUUAAUUGGAGUCUGGCAUGAACGAAAGCAUGGGUGGCGACUGUCUUAAUAUAUUUUUUCUAAUUUCAUAAUCAAGUGAAAAUACUUGUGCGAAAUAAAAAAGACGAGAAGACCCUAGAAACUUGAAAAGUUUUUUGUUGGGGCGACAGAGUUACAUGUAACUAAUUUUAUAGAACAUGACAUAAGUUAGGCAGAGUAAGUUACUCUAGGGAUAACAGCAUAAUUUUAAUAGUUUGUGACCUCGAUGUUGGACUAGGUAUUAUACUCUUUAGGCAAGGGUAUAAGAUGCUCUGUUCGAGCAAAAUCACCUACAU